UUAUUUGGCCGAAUUUGCACGAGAGUAGCUAAGCGUGCUUGGGCGAGAGUAGUACUAGGAUUGGUGACCUCCUGGGAAGUCCUCAUGUUGCACCCC
rfam:Gossypium hirsutum cultivar TM-1 unplaced genomic scaffold scaffold4672.1, whole genome shotgun sequence